rnacentral:lncRNA from 1 species
CACCUUCUUGACGAGAAUAAUAUUCACCAAUCACUCGACGUAGUCUAUCUCUCAGAUGAAGCUUGCCACCAGAAGCUUGUCCACUUCCAGUUUAAUGAUUCAUUAGGGUUCAGGGCAAAGUUUCGCUUCUACCGCACCAGUUGAUGCAGUGGGUCAGUAUGUAGACAGUGCACCAUAACCUCAGGAUCGACACAAGGCAUGUCUUUGAUCUACCAUGUGAAAACAUCGAUGUUGGCCUAUAAGAAGCUCAGGAGCCUGUCCCAAUAGGCUUCGUCUUGAUGCAAUUCGAUCUAGAUUAUUUUGCUUAGUUUAGAUUCAUGCAGAGGGAUUGAGAUAAGCUACUUGACCGACUCCCCAUGCUGCUGCUUUCUCUUGUCAUGGGCAUCUUGGCUUUUGAAAGGCAUGGCCUCUCUAGGUCUCUUACCCUUGAGAGAGGUGAUGUAACAGUACCUAGCUAGGGCAUGAUUUCUUCGAAGCUCACCCACGCUCUAGGAGAUAGGAAAUCUUACCAAUAG